AAACCAUCUGAUAAGGACGUAGUAUCAUCAUUAUUGGAAUUUGGAGCGGAAAUCAAUGUAACCAAUAGUCUGGGAGAAACAGCUUUAUUGUGUUACAUAAGGAAAUCAGAUAAAACUCCAGAAUUGACAGAAUUUUUGUUAGAUAAAGGAGUUGAUCCAAAUAUUUGUGACAAAGAAGGAAAUUCUGUUUUAAUGGAGGCAAUAAAUCAUGACUUAUAUUCAACUGUUAAAUUGUUAGUACAGCACAAAGCAAACAUCAACCACAUCAGAGAGGAUGGAAACACAGCUCUACAUUUAUGUUUGUUGAAAGAAUCACCAAUAAAACAAAACAAACGAAAAAGAAUCCUUACAAUGGAAGAAUCAUUGAAACAUGUCAAAAUGUCAGAUGCUCUCAGACGUAAAAUUGU